rnacentral:rRNA from 1 species
UACGAAGGGGGCUAGCGUUGCUCGGAAUCACUGGGCGUAAAGCGCACGUAGGCGGCUUUUUAAGUCAGAGGUGAAAUCCUGGAGCUCAACUCCAGAACUGCCUUUGAUACUGGAGAGCUUGAGUCCGGGAGAGGUGAGUGGAACUGCGAGUGUAGAGGUGAAAUUCGUAGAUAUUCGCAAGAACACCAGUGGCGAAGGCGGCUCACUGGCCCGGUACUGGCGCUGAGGUGCGAAAGCGUGGGGAGCAAACAGG